rnacentral:rRNA from 1 species
UAUGGCUCAGAUUGAAGCUGGCGGCAGGCUAAUACAUGCAAGUCGAACGGUAACAUGAGAAAGCUUGCUUCUUGAUGACGAGUGGCGGACGGGUGAGUAAUGCCUGGGAAGCUGCCUGAAUGAGGGGGACAACACCUGGAAACGGGUGCUAAUACCGCGUAUACCCUGAGGGGGAAAGACCGGAUACGGUCACAUUCAGAUGCGCCCAGGUGGGAUUAGCUAGUUGGUGGGGUAACGGCCUACCAAGGCGACGAUCUCUAGCUGGUCUGAGAGGAUGAUCAGCCACACUGGAACUGAGACACGGUCCAGACUCCUACGGGAGGCAGCAGUAGGGAAUAUUGCACAAUGGGGGGAACCCUGAUGCAGCCAUGCCGCGUGUGUGAAAGAAGGCCUUCGGGUUGUAAAGCACUUCAGUAUGAGAAGUACGCACCGUUAUAGUGCCUUGAUUGACGUUACAUACAGAAGAAGCACCGGCUAACUCCGUGCCAGCCGCGGC